rnacentral:rRNA from 1 species
AGAGUUUGAUCCUGGCUCAGAGCGAACGCUGGCGGCAGGCCUAACACAUGCAAGUCGAACGAACUCUUCGGAGUUAGUGGCGGACGGGUGAGUAACACGUGGGAACGUGCCUUUAGGUUCGGAAUAACUCAGGGAAACUUGUGCUAAUACCGAAUGUGCCCUUCGGGGGAAAGAUUUAUCGCCUUUAGAGCGGCCCGCGUCUGAUUAGCUAGUUGGUGAGGUAAAGGCUCACCAAGGCGACGAUCAGUAGCUGGUCUGAGAGGAUGAUCAGCCACAUUGGGACUGAGACACGGCCCAAACUCCUACGGGAGGCAGCAGUGGGGAAUCUUGCGCAAUGGGCGAAAGCCUGACGCAGCCAUGCCGCGUGA